rnacentral:lncRNA from 10 species
CCUCCCAUUCCAUCUGUGCCUGUGUUCCCACAGCCCUGUGUUUUAAGCCUGACUCCAUCAAGGUGAACAACAACAGCAGGACAGAGCUGACCCCGAAAGCCAUCUGCCGCCGCGCCGCUCCCGCGGGCUAUGAGGAGUUCUACUUCCCCUUGGUGGAGGCCACCAGGCUCCGCUGUGUCACCAGUUGCACGUCGGGCGUGGACAACGCCAUCAACUGUCACCAGGGCCAGUGCGUUCUGGAGAGGAGCGGUCCCACCUGUCGCUGCUACUCCACGGACACGCACUGGUUCUCCGGCCCGCGCUGCGAGGUGGCCAUCCACUGGAGGGCGCUGGUCGGGGGCCUGACGGCGGGCGCCGCGCUGCUGCUGCUGCUGCUACUAGCGCUGGGUGUCUGGGCAGUGCGCUCCGGACUGUGGAGCUGCCAGUACCUAGACCGGUCCUGGGACCAGGACAGGAAAUGGUUCGAGACCUGGGAUGAGGAAGUCGUGGGCACUUUUUCAAACUGGGGUUUCGAGGUCGACGGAACAGACAAGGAUGAAAAUUUCCGUGUGGCCUUGGAGAACGUGGACACCACUAUGAAGGUGAGGGGCUAAAGAGGGGGACCCCAAGGAACUCUCCCAGCCUCCAUUCCAGAUUCCCU